AUAGAUAUGAAAGGAAAAGGGAGAUAUACUGUGUUCGAUCGGUUCGUUCUGCGGAAGCACGUAUCUUCUGUCAAGGCGAUGGCAUCGUUUCAACGAUCAACUCGUGAAAGACACGUAAGCACAAAAUGUCUCCCUUAUCAAGAAGAGAAGAGGAGGAGGAGGAGUUCGGUUUGAAGAAGAAGAAGGUCGUCGGUCUAACCAAAGAAGAUUUCAUAGGAACGGAGAAAACGCUUCCUAAAUUUAGCCGACAAGAAAAUAAGCACGUGAGACAGAAAAAAAGAGAAAGA
rnacentral:lncRNA from 1 species